rnacentral:rRNA from 1 species
UGCGUAGGUGGUCGGGUAAGUCUGAGGUGAAAUCUCCGAGCUCAACUCGGAAACUGCCUUGGAUACUAUCCGGCUCGAGGGUUGGAGGGGGGACUGGAAUUCUCGGUGUAGCAGUGAAAUGCGUAGAUAUCGAGAGGAACACCAGUGGCGAAGGCGAGUCCCUGGACAACUCCUGACGCUGAGGCACGAAAGCUAGGGAGCAAACA